rnacentral:rRNA from 1 species
UAACAAUGAUUUCCCUAGUAACGGCGAGUGAAGAGGAAAGAGCUCAAAGUUGGAAACUGUUUGGCUUAGCUAAACCGUAUUGUAAACUGUAGAAACAUUUUCCUGGCACACCAGAUUAAUAAGUCCUUUGGAACAAGGCAUCAUGGAGGGUGAGAAUCCCGUCUUUGAUCUGAGUAGUUGUCUUUUGUGAUAUGUUUUCAAAGAGUCAGGUUGUUUGGGAAUGCAGCCUAAAUUGGGUGGUAAAUCUCACCUAAAGCUAAAUAUUUGCGAGAGACCGAUAGCGAACAAGUACCGUGAGGGAAAGAUGAAAAGAACUUUGAAAAGAGAGUUAAACAGUAUGUGAAAUUGUUAAAAGGGAACCGUUUGGAGCCAGACUGGUUUGCUUGUAAUCAACCUAGAAUUCGUUUUGGGUGCACUUGCAGGCUAUACCUGCCAACAACAGUUUGAUUUGGAGGAAAAAAUUAAUAGGAAUGUAGCCUCUCGAGGUGUUAUAGCCUAUUAUCAUACUCUGGAUUGGACUGAGGAACGCAGCGAAUGCCUUUAGGCAAGAUUGCUGGGUGCUUUCGCUAAUAAAUGUUAGAAUUUCUGCUUCGGGUGGUGCUAAUGUUUAAAGGAGGAACACAUCUAGUAUAUUUUUUAUUCGCUUAGGUUGUUGGCUUAAUGACUCU